GGCAGACGGGUGCGUAACACGUAGGUGACCUGCCCUGGAGUGGGGAAUAACUAUCCUAACGGAUAGCUAAUACCGCAUAUGCUCGGUGAUUCAUUUUGCCGAGUAAAGUCGUAAGGCGCUUCAGGAUGGGCCUGCGGCGGAUUAGGUAGUUGGUGGGGUAAUGGCCUACCAAGCCGAUGAUCCGUAGGGGGCGUGAGAGCGUGGCCCCCCACACUGGCACUGAGAUACGGGCCAGACUCCUACGGGAGGCAGCAGUGAGGAAUAUUGCGCAAUGGGCGAAAGCCUGACGCAGCAACGCCGCGUGAGGGACGAAGGCCUUCGGGUCGUAUACCUCUUUUCUGGGGAAAGAGCAAGGACGGUACCUCAGGAAUAAGUCUCGGCUAACUACGUGCCAGCAGCCGCGGUAAAACGUAGGAGGCGAGCGUUAUCCGGAUUUACUGGGCGUAAAGCGCACGCAGGCGGCUUCGUAGUCGGGUGUGAAAGCUCCUAGCUUAACUGGGAGAGGCCACUCGAUACUGCGAGGCUUGAGGUUGGGAGAGGGGUGU
rnacentral:rRNA from 1 species